UCCGAUUUAACAUCGGCAGUCUCUUUAGAGUGCCCAACUUAAUGAUGGCAACUAAAGACAAGGGUUGCGCUCGUUGACGGACUUAACCGAACAUCUCACGACACGAGCUGACGACAGCCAUGCAGCACCUGUCUCACCUGUCCCUUGCGGGUCUGAACUAUCUCUAGAACAUUCAAGUGGAAGUCAAGGCCGGGUAAGGUUCUGCGCGUUGCUUCGAAUUAAACCACAUAAUCCACCGCUUGUGCGGGUCCCCGUCAAUUCCUUUGAGUUUUAAUCUUGCGACCGUACUCCCCAGGCGGAUAACUUAUCGCGUUAGCUUAGCUACGGCCGGGGUCAAUACCAGCCACAGCGAGUUAUCAUCGUUUACAGCGUGGACUAC
rnacentral:misc_RNA from 1 species